CUGCGCGCGGCUCUGCCCCGCUCUCGGCAGUGCGAUGGGCUCCACGCGGGGCACGGCCGUCCCCUGCGCCCACCCAGGGGAGCGCUGCCGGACAGGUACCGUGCCGCGAUGGAGCCGAUGGGCUUUUUGCCUGCGAGGUGAUCCCGCGUGUUGGUACCGUGCUGCCCAGGGUGCCGCCCCGCUCAGCAUCCCUCUUCCUCUGCCCGCAGAUCCGCAGCACGAAGCGGGGUGGCUGCAAACAGAGGCUGAGCUGUUCCCCUUCCCUGGGACACCACCAGGGACUGCUGAGCCCCCCGGCACCAGCAGCAGCCCUGGGGAGGCUGGGACGGGUCCUGCGGUGCGGGAUGGAGUGAGCACCGAGGCACAGCCUUCACCCUCUUCUGGUACCACUGAUGCAGCUUCAGGCAGAGAGGGAAUGUAUCCUACACGCCCAGGGGAAAGCCCAGCCAGGCUUCUCACAGCAGUCACCAUGGAGCUCAGCACAGCUCCAGCCAUCAGUGCUGCCCCCAGGACUGAGCCCAUAGGAAAUGAGAAGGCAGAAAGUUCCUCAACCCCACAGAGGACACUCUUGCAUUCAUCGUCCCAUGUGACGGUGCCCAGCAGCUCUAGGGGGCAGUGGGGAACCCCCAGCACUAUGAGGACAGUGCUCACACAGAGCUGGGGGGGCUCAGUCAUCCCCUCACACCCUGCUCUGGAGCCACAGGGCAGGGAUGCCACUAUCCCACCCAGUGACAGCAGAGCAGGGACCCCCCAGGGACAUACAACAGACAGCCCUGUGACAGGGACAAGUGGGACACUGUCUUUUGUGGGGGGGCUGCAGAGUCUGCAGAGCUCCCCUGGGGAACUAGGAAGGAUGCAUCAAGUACUGGCAGGGACAGGGCCAGCAGGAGAGUCCCACUCAUUGCAGGGGACAACCAUGGCCUGGGUGGGUCUUCAUGCCACUUCCCACCCCCCUCUGCUGUCCCCAGGGGUUAGUGGCCGUGGAGGGCUGAUGUGGCAUCCCAAGGGCCCUGGGGCCAGCAUGACCCUACUGCCCAUGGAGUCACGUCUGCCUCCUGACCCUAGCUCCACAGCCACUGCCCCAGGGGUGAUGUUGCAAGGCCCUGAGGGAGCCCCAGACCUGACCACGGAGGUGUUGGGGCUGCCCAACACUCAGAGUCCCCCUGGGCCCAACCGUGUCCCCAUGAACCAGACCUGGCAUAUCUCAGCCUUGCCGGGGGAAGCCCCACCCUCACCGGGCCCACAGCCCUCCUUGGGGCUCAGCCCCACUACAGACACCCACCCAGCAGCGUCCCCAGGGCGUGAACAUGCUGAGAGCCCGCAGGUCCCAGGACGGACCCCAGUGUGGGCAGGUGAUGCUGGGCCUUGGGCAACGACUGCACCACCAAGCACAGCCCUUCCUGCGGCCCCCAGCUCUCCACUGCCAGCCCUGACCCAACCCACAUCAUCUCCACCUCUGCUGACCUUUGCCAUCAGCACUACCACCAGCAUCACCACCACUGCCACCAGCACAGCCACUGCCACCAGCACAGCCACUGCCACCAGCCUCGCACUUCUCAGGGAUGAGAAGACAGCCCCGCUGGAUCCCAUCAGUGCUGCAUGUCAGGGGGCUGUGGAGGAGCUGAUGCAGGGGCCCAGUGCGGUGCCGGGGUCCCCCCAUCAGCCCCCAGACCCCCCCAGGAGUGCAGAGCCGCCCCUGCCACAGAGCGGCCCCACGGAGCGGCCACACGCCGGCCCCACAUGCGUGACACCAAACCCAGAGACAGCAGGCAGGGCCACCCCGGAGUUCAUCGUGGAGGAUGAACCGCCGCAGCUGCGAGCGUCCCUCCUGCGCGUGCCCUGCGAGCUGGCACUGGACAUGGCCUUCGUGCCCGCGCUGCGCGACCCCGCAUCCCACGAGCACCACGUGCUGCUGAGCAGCCUCAACCGGACGGUGAGCG
ensembl:lncRNA